AUGGCCUGGGCCCCUCUCCUCCUCACCCUCCUGGCUCACUGCACAGGGUCCCUCUCCCAGUUUGUGGUGACUCAGCCGCCCUCCCUCUCCGCAUCUCUGGGAGCCACAGCCAGACUCACCUGCACCCUGAGCAGUGAUGUCAGUAUUGGUAACAAAUAUAUAUACUGGUUCCAGCAGAAGCCCGGGAGCCCUCCCCGUUAUCUCCUGAGAUAUAGCUCAGACUCAUAUAAGGACCAGGGCUUGGGGGUCCCCAGCCGCUUCUCUGGAUCUAAAGACACUUCGGCCAAUGCGGGACACCUGCUCAUCUCGGGGCUGCAGCCUGAGGAUGAGACGGACUAUUACUGUCUGAUCGGGCACAAUAACAUUUGUCACAGUGACACACACAGAUGGGGAAGUGGGACAAAAACCUCCCGUCUGCCCUAG